CCCUUGGCUCAGUUGGUAGAGCAUGGUGUUUGCAACGCCAGGGUUGUGGGUUCGAUUCCCAUGGGG
rnacentral:tRNA from 1 species